GACGUAGGUGGCGAACGUUAUCCGGAAUCAUUGGGCGUAAAGGGUGCGUAGAUGGCAUGAUAAGUUAUUAGUGGGAAAUCGAGGCUCAACCUCGUGGAAGCUAGUAAUACUGUUUUGCUUGAGUACAGAAGAGGUUAACGGAACUCCAUGUGGAGCGGUAAAAUGCGUAGAUAUAUGGAAGAACACCAAUAACGGCGAAGGCAGUUAACUAUUCUGUUACUGACAUUGAGGCACGAAAGCGUGGUGAGCAAAACGG
rnacentral:rRNA from 1 species